UCCUCAGGCCAGAAGAAGCUGCUUUGGGGGUCUCUGUCAUGGGAAGGUAGGCCCAGUUUGGUUACUGAUUGAGAGUAUACUGGCUAGCCUGUCUUCAGGAAAAGUGUGAUAUUGCUCAAUUUGCCAUUAGCAGAUAAUCAGACCCUGUUUAUACUGAGAAUAUGCCCUAUGCCAAAACUAUGCCCUAUGCCUGCAUAGUGAAAGCACUCUAAGGCCUUAAGGAGGUGGCACUCCUGGCAUUAUGGGGUUUGUUAUUAUUAGUGACUAACAGUAUUUGCUCUGUAUUAUCUCAUAGCAAACCAUCUUACAUCACAGCUCUUUUGUUCUGUUUGACCUGUUACACCUUACACCAAGGACAUGAAGAAACACAUUAGCUAUAAGGGACUCUGGCAAGUGUUUGACUCCUUUUCUUUUCCUCCCUUGAUUCAUCUUAUAAUGAGAAAGCUAAGUACCCAAAGCCCUUGGGUGACUUGCACUGAUUUGACAGCUAGCUGGGUAUCAGACAGAACCAAGGCCAAGCUAUGAAUUUCCAUCUCACUGAUGCCCACAAUGCUCCCUCCUAUUCCUUGCUGUGCUGAACAGCUGUUGACAGUUGCAUGGGAUUCUGUCCAUACAUCUCACUGAGGAGGCUGUGAGUAUGGAUGAGUCUCAGUUGAACCUGGUCUUUAACAAAUCCUUGGGAGGAAGAAGCAAUGAAUCCACUUCAGUGGUCUUUGAACUUUUAGCAAGCUCACUGGACUAAUAUCUCGAGAUUUUAACAUUGCCACGGGGCCACGACCUCUCACAAGGCCUAUGGCUCUCUAGGUCUGUGAGAUGUGUUUAAAUGGACUCUGUCCAUUUGUGGCUGUGACCAGUCAUCACCAGAGUCUAUUUUGCGUCAAAUUCAACUCUAAGACUGAGUCAUGGUGAGCCCUGGGUUGACCUGUGGGUUUAUUUUUAAAUGGGGAACAUAGCGUAUGCCUUGAAGUCGCCUGUCCAAGCUUUGAUGUCCUGCCCCUAUGUGUGCACACACCUCUUCCCUUUCCUCCCCCAACACACCCCAGGAUAAUACACAUCAGACACUCUGACAAGGCUCUCAGGACAUGCUCUUCCAUAAGAGUUCUGCAAUUUCCAGCGUGAGCCAGAGCAGAGCACGGCGGUGUGCAGUUGGAAAAGCAGUUUGUUCUCUGCUAAUGACAGCUGUGGAUUCUGAAAUGAAGCCCAGCAGGUGGGACAGUGGUACUCAAUUUUCAAAAUCUGUGCCCUAAAACAUGUUUGCUUAAACCUUGUCUGUACCACCCUUUAGGGGCCUCCACAUCCAUCAAAACCAGACCCCAGGAAAGGAAUUCAAGGCUUCUAUUUCUCACUGCUGCCUUCACAAUCAUCGUGGAAUGAUUCAGAGGUUGUCUGGAAAGUUCAGUAGCCAAAAGUUCUGUCUUUCUCCCCAGAGCGAGAAAUUAAAUCACUUCCAGCUCCCAGGGGAAACAGCACUGCCUUUGCCCAGGUUUCCCCGGAUAAUUCAAUUACAGGCUGUUUUAGAGAAAUUACAAUUUAAUCAAUAAGGAAAAGGCCAAAUUUCUGAGCGAGAUCAAAGGACAUGCACCCCCCCCCCCCAAUGAAGAACUCUUUCAAAGGGUGUGCAUGGUGACAUUUUUGUCAGGAUUCUUGGUGUGCUGCUGUGUCAUCAGACAGAAGCAGACCACCAAGCCUUAUAUACUGAAAAGAAUGACAGAAUGAAUGAGGAGACCAGCUCACUGACAGAUAGAAAGCCAAGCCCAGAAUUAGAGGGAAAAUAGAUGAAGAUACUCUGAACUUCAGAAGGAACAAAGAACCUGAAGGUCUUUUAUAUUAAUAAAAGAAAAUGUU